CAUUGCGUUUAUAAUCCACCAAUCAAACACUACUUCCUGAAGUGACUCGAGAAGCUCAACGCUGCGCACAGUUGUGUGCCUGCAUCAGUUCAAAAACAGAGAGGGGCGCUUUUAGCAAGACCACACUCAACAAUGACGGUCCGUGACUUCUCUUCCGGGGAGGCUUCAUCAAAUCUCUUCAUGGCUAAUCAAACCAUGUUGGAACAAACAUCAUUCAGUAUCAGGAGCAAUGGAAGACUUUCAUGUUGGCUUGGGAAUAAAACCGGUUCCUCUUAAGUCUUCGUUAUUGUGGGAUGAAUGAUGCUGGAGGAAGACCGUCUUUUACAAGCAGUUGAUACAUGUUGUAUAUUUGCAUUUUUGAGUAUGCCAAGCCUGGUGGUGCUGCAACAUUUUUAGCUAGACUAGCCUCUGUUCUGUUUAUUUAUUUGAUUCUUGUAAAUUGAUACUUAACUGCUAGUAACAUUAUGAUCAAAGGAAGUACAUUCAUAAAACAACUGCAACCAAUCUUAUUGUAUUGGAAAU